AGCACCUCCGAGUUCAUGGAGUACAAAUAAAUGCGUGUCCCGUCUUCGACGCGCUGCGCCGACCGUCCUCCUCUGGCUCCGACGCCCAGCCUGGCACCUCGGUGACUGCACUGCAGUCCGAAUCCGACAAUUUACAACCUGCUAGCCAGGCUCCGCGAUGUGCUCAGCGUACUCCGUUCACCGUAGCGGCAAUGGGGAAGAUGUCGGUGCCACAGACGGAAGAGUGCCACAGAAAGGUCACUGCACACAUAGUCAAAAGACUGCAUCCCUUUUCAGAGGUGGAAUCUCCAACAUUUAAGGAUAUGGUGAAAACUCUCAACCCAAAAUACAUACCACCUUCCAGGGACUACCUGUCAAACACAUUGAUGGUACAAGAAGAAUCGGAAUCGAG